AUGGCUGGAUUCGGCGCCAACUGCAGGCUGGGGGCCGUGCUCUUCUUCUCCGCCUGGAUCACGCUCGCGGCCCUCAACAGGCUGGUGCGCCCGGCGCCCAACGGGUGCCAGAUGACCUACAUGUACCCGACCUACAUCCCCAUCCACGCCCCCAACAACGUCUCCUCCGACAGGUACGGCCUGUUCCUGUACCACGAGGGGUGGAAGGAGAUCGACUUCGCCGAGCGCGUCCGCAAGCUCGACGGCGUGCCCGUGCUUUUCAUCCCCGGCAACGGCGGGAGCUACAAGCAGGUUCGCUCAUUUGCUGCAGAAUCUUCUCGAGCAUAUCAAAACGGUCCACUUGAGCCCUCCUUUUAUCGGGAACCAUCUAGUGCAUUUGAACUGGAAGAUUCUUCCCUUCCAUCACAAUAUGGCCGUAUUCUGGAUUGGUUUACUAUUGAUCUUGAAGGAGAACACUCUGCAAUGGAUGGUCGCAUACUUGAGGAGCAUACUGAAUAUGUUGUCUAUGCCAUCCAUAGGAUCCUUGAUCAAUACAAAGAAUCUCAUUUAGCACGAUCGAAGGAUGAUGUUCGUUCUACUGGUAACUUGCCAUCUAGUGUUAUGCUAGUUGGACAUUCAAUGGGUGGUUUUGUGGCUCGAGCAGCUCUUGUCCACCCGGGCUUAAGGAAAUCAGCUGUUGAAACUAUACUGACGCUCUCCAGCCCACACCAGUAUCCUCCUGUUGCUCUGCAGCCGUCCUUGGGUCAUUUUUUCUCCCAUGUCAAUGAAGAAUGGAGAAACGGAUACAAGAAAGGAGUAUCACAUACAAGCAGUCCAAAACUCUCAAAUGUAGUAGUUGUCUCUAUAUCAGGCGGCAUCCAUGAUUAUCAGAUUAGGUCAAGGUUGGCCGCAUUGGAUGGCAUUGUACCUUCUACUCAUGGGUUUAUGGUAGGGAGCUCCAGUGUGAAGAAUGUUUGGCUAUCCAUGGAACAUCAAUCCAUCCUCUGGUGCAAUCAAUUAGCUGUACAGGUCGCGCACACUCUUCUUAGCAUGAUAGAUCCUGUGGAUCGGCAGCCAUUUUUGAGUUCACAAAAAAGAGUCUUUGUGUUUGCGAAAAUGCUCCAGAGUGUAGUUCCCCAGUCUUUGAGUUGGAUGAAUCAUGUUUCAGGUUCUCAAUCUUCAAAUUUUCUUGCGAGUGAUACCAAGGAAGCCGGUGAAUUGCAGCGAAAUGAUACACUUUUUUGCCCACCAUCUGUUCUAUGGACAAGUGAUGGCCUUGAAAAGGACCUGCAUAUCCAGUCAAAUUUGGUUACUGUUUUAGCGAUGGAUGGCAGGAGAAGAUGGUUAGAUAUUAAAAAGCUGGGUUCAAAUGGAAGAGGACACUUUGUUUUUGUCACAAAUCUUGCUCCAUGUUCUGGAGUCAGGAUUCACUUGUGGCCAGAAAAGCAUCGUUCGUCCAUCGAAAAUGAAGUACCUGCUAGCAAAAGGAUAGUUGAAGUUACCUCAAAGAUGGUCCAAAUCCCAGCAGGACCUGCACCAAAACAGGUAGAACCCGGGAGCCAAACUGAGCAACCGCCUCCUUCUGCCUUCCUUUUGCUGAGUCCAGAAGAUAUGAAUGGUUACAAUUUCAUGACUAUAUCGGUGGCAUCGCGGCAGAUGAUUUCAGGCAGACCUCCGCCAGCGGCUUCGAUGGCAGUGGGGCAGUUCUUUAAUCCAGUGGAAGGAACAAGUGCACUUUCUGUUGGCAGGAUUGUCCACUCUAGCUAUUCACCUGAAGAAAUAUUUUUGAAGGAGGAUCACCCAAUGGCUUUAACCUUGUCGUUUUCGGUCAGCCUUGGUCUUCUACCAGUUUUGUUUUCACUGAAAACUACUGGAUGUGGAAUAAAAAAUAUUGGUGACCAAAUUGAAGCUGAUAAAAACAACCUUUGUAAAUUACGGUGCUUCCCACCUGUUGCACUGGCUUGGGAUUCUGUAUCAGGCAUACACAUUAUUCCGAAUAUCUAUUCUGAAACUGUAGUGGUUGAUUCGUCACCUGCUACUUGGGAUUCACACCAAGGGGCAGAGAAAACUACUGUGCUAGUCCUGGCUGACCCGCAUUGCUCAUACAAAGUCAGUCUUCGCGCUUCGCUUGGUGCUGCAACUAGCAGAUUCUUUUUGUUGUACUCAUCCGAGAUUCUUGGUUUCAUGAUUGCCAUAAUACUGUUUGGCCUGAUGCGACAAUCGUCAGCAUGGGAACGUGACUCUUCUGUGCCAUCUAUUUUGUCAGCUAUUGAGACUAAUCUGAAGCCAAAGCCGUUGAUGUUCCUUUGCUUCACGCCAAUACUUCUUUUCCUUGCCUUCUUAUUUUUCACUACACAGCAAAACCCUCGAUUUGGAACCUUCUUGUUUGUUACUGUGGUCUGCUACAUAGUUGCUAAUGGUUUCACCAUUUUGGUAACACUAAGUUCGAAAUUGAUUCUGUAUGUGGCUGCCAUUCUACAUGUCUUCGCCAAAAGACGCUGGCAAUCUUGGGAGGACGGUACUCAUUCUCCAUUUGUUCGCCAGUUCCUCGCUUUCUCGUUCUCAUUUCAAUCUCUCAAGAUUGUGCAGAUGAUCAAGAACAAUACAAAUAUAGCUGUAGCAUUCGCUACAAUUACUCUUGUCUGCUUCGUUCAUCCAGCAAUUGGUCUUGGUCUGUUACUUCUUUCACAUUCCUUCCAUGCCCAUUCAGCCCUCUGCAGUUUCUUAGGAGCUUCGUUUCGUAACAUCGCUCAGAAAAAGGACCUGUAUAAAUCCAAGAUGGAUAAUAAUCCUAUUCUACAAUCCAAAAGUAAACCAGAUGGGCUCGAGCAACUUCUGCCAAUGGAUGACAGCCCAACAUCUGCUAAAAGCUUUACUGACAGCCAGCUAGAAGUGUUUGACUGUCGGCAUGGGAUUAUGAUCCUGCAUCUUCUAGCUACACUCAUGUUUGUGCCUUCACUUAUUGCUUGGAUACAGAGAAUUGGAGUGGGUCAGAGAUUUCCGUGGUUUGUUGAUUCUGCCCUUUGUGUUGGUGUUAUUCUGCAUGGACUUUUGGGAUCACAGCCAACUGCCAGCUUUAUAUCUUUUAAGUUACCCGGAAGGAGAGGGCGCGAAGUUGGAAUGAGCUUUCUCUACCUCAUAGGUGGCUUUUAUUCCUUUAUUAGCUCCAUGGCAUUGGCACCUUACAGAGCGCUGUAUGCGAUGGCCAUCAUUGGUUUCAUCUGUUUUGCUUCCAGAAUUCUUGAGACUAGAGGCAAGGUGAGAGGUGAUAUUAGCUCUAGAAAAAGGCACUGGCAUAGACAUUGA
rnacentral:rRNA from 1 species